AUUGAACGCUGGCGGCAGGCUUAACACAUGCAAGUCGAGCGAGCGGCGGACGGGUGAGUGAUUUCUGGGAAACUGCCUGAUGGAGGGGGCUAACUACUGGAAACGGUAGCUAAUACUGCUUACCAUCCGAUGUGCCCAGAUGGGUUUAGCUAGUAGGUGGGGUAAUGGCUCACCUAGGCGAAGAUCCCUAGCUGGUCUGAGAGGAUGACCAGCCACACUGGAACUGAGACACGGUCCAGACUCCUACGGGAGGCAGCAGUGGGGAAUAUUGCACAAUGGGCGCAAGCCUGAUGCAGCCAUGCCGCGUGUGUGAAGAAGGCCUUCGGGUUGUAAAGCACUUUCAGCGAGGAGGCGUUACUCGCAGAAGAAGCACCGGCUAACUCCGUGCCAGCAGCCGCGGUAAUAC
rnacentral:rRNA from 1 species